rnacentral:rRNA from 1 species
UACGUAGGGGGCAAGCGUUGUCCGGAAUUAUUGGGCGUAAAGCGCGUGUAGGCGGCCAGAUAAGUCCGCUGUGAAAUCUCGAGGCUCAACUUCGAGCUGUCGGUGGAAACUGUCUGGCUAGAGUCCGGAAGAGGAAAGUGGAAUUCCUGGUGUAGCGGUGAAAUGCGCAGAUAUCAGGAAGAACACCAUGCGAAAGCAGCU